AGUGACCCACUGUACUGUUCGUGUUACAUAGGGUAUACUACUUUGUGCUAGUACAUCUUGUAUGGUAUUGUUGAUUGUUCAAGCUUCUGAUGGUCCAUUGCAAGAAGUUUCACAGAAUCACUGGAGAGUUGUACUUAUUUCCUGCCCAAGAUCCCAGCUGUACCCAAGUUUAUAUAGUCUGGUUGUGAGCAGUUUUCUCUCACUCUUUGUCCUGCAUGAUACUAUUUAUUUUAAAUCUCUUUGUAAUUUUUUUCAAACAAAGACAUUAUAAGUAAUAUGUAUAGUAAUAGUAUAUAUAGUAUAUGCUAGUAAUAUAUGUAGUAAUAUGUGGCUGGUCACAUUUAAUUUUGAGUAGAUAGGAUAAUAGAUUAUCAGUCCUGCUGAAGAUCAAGAAAUAUUUACCAAGGACUUAUGAGAUUAGAUCUUCAAAUUUCAGAGUUUUAAAAGGAAACUUUCAAAUCGCCCACCCUUUCCUGGUAUUCUGGUUCUCAGUGCUAAUGUGAUCCUGCCCCAUGAGCUGCCCACAGUCUGAAUGUCCUCAUAUCGAAUAAUCUUUUUUACACUGUGAAGAUGUAUCUUUGCCAAGGUGCCUUCUGAUUGGCUUAAUAAAGAGCUAAAUGGCUCAGCGGGAGGUAUAGACCAGACUUCCAGGCACAGAGAGGACUCUGGGAAGAAGAGCCAGGCAGACAUGGAAGAAGAGCCAGGCAGACAUGGAACAAGUCGGACACACAGAAUGGAAUAGAGAUUUCUCUGGGGCAACAUUGAUGCCAGAUGACGAUGGAGCCAUGUCUACAGUCUCUGAAGAAAAGCACAGCCUUCGAGUGUUAACACCCAGUCACCCUGAACUUCUGCUGUAAAUGCAGCAUGCAGGCAUUUCUAGGCACGAAAAUAUUCAACGAAUACAACAUUCAUGUAUCAUUCUUGGAUGCAAUACAGAUGAUCAAUCUAGCCCAUAAAAAGGCAAACCAUUCUUCAAAUACAAAAGCUAAGUAAGGCUGCCUUAACAAGUGCAGAGAAUGCAUGAGACAUAACACUGAUGAGCACUCUUGAAAAUGCUACUCGUCUAAAAAACUCAGUGAGCCAAGAAAUGAAGGAAUAUAGAGGUCUCAAGUCUGAAGACAAAGUGCAAACUAUUGCAAAUCUGUUCGUUGCUGCAUUCUUGCAAGAGAAUACCGCGCAGCUGUGUUGGGGAAAGGAUCUUUCUGUGCACUGCAGGGCACCGCCUAUCAGCUUGGCAGCUUGGCUAAGUGACGUCACGCCCGAACCCUGGAGCCAGAGUACUUGGUUUCACCUCCUGGAUCCAUUAUUUGCUCUCCAAACUCUUAUUUCCCUCCUCUGUAAAGUCAAGAUGGUGAUAACACCUAUCCACGGAAGUUGUCACAAUUCAACACUGAGUGUUUGGGAAGCACUCAGCAGCAGUGUCCAGCACCACACAAUCUCUUUUAACGGCGCCCCUCUGUGACGUUCACUAUGAUGACAAACCUUCCACUGUUCAACUGCUAAGUAACUUGAAAAGAAUCACUGGGAAAACAAAACUACUAGAAAUAAUAUGACUUGGGUCAGUGACUGAAUAAAAGUAUUUUUAAAUUUUGA